GAUGAACGCCAGCUACAGGCUUAACACAUGCAAGUCGAGGGGAAACGACAUCGAAAGCUUGCUUUUGAUGGGCGUCGACCGGCGCACGGGUGAGUAACGCGUAUCCAACCUGCCCACCACUUGGGGAUAACUUUGCGAAAGUAAGACUAAUACCCAAUGGCGUCUCUAGAAGACAUCUGAAAGAGAUUAAAGAUUUAUCGGUGAUGGAUGGGGAUGCGUCUGAUUAGCUUGUUGGCGGGGUAACGGCCCACCAAGGCGACGAUCAGUAGGGGUUCUGAGAGGAAGGUCCCCCACAUUGGAACUGAGACACGGUCCAAACUCCUACGGGAGGCAGCAGUGAGGAAUAUUGGUCAAUGGACGAGAGUCUGAACCAGCCAAGUAGCGUGCAGGAUGACGGCCCUAUGGGUUGUAAACUGCUUUUAUAAGGGAAUAAAGUGAGAGUCGUGGCUCUUUUUGCAUGUACCUUAUGAAUAAGGACCGGCUAAUUCCGUGCCAGCCGCCGCAGUAA
rnacentral:rRNA from 1 species